UACGGGGGGGGCAAGCGUUGUUCGGAAUUACUGGGCGUAAAGGGCUCGUAGGCGGCCAACUAAGUCAGACGUGAAAUCCCCAGGCUCAACCUGGGAACUGCGUCCGAUACUGGAAGGCUUGAAUCCGGGAGAGGGAUGCGGAAUUCCAGGUGUAGCGGUGAAAUGCGUAGAUAUCUGGAGGAACACCGGUGGCGAAGGCGGCAUCCUGGACCGGUAUUGACGCUGAGGCGCGAAAGCCAGGGGAGCAAACGGG
rnacentral:rRNA from 1 species